AGAACUUGAAACCGUGUGCUUACAAGUAGUCAGAGCCCGUUAAUGGGUGAUGGCGUGCCUUUUGUAGAAUGAACCGGCGAGUUACGAUCUGAUGCAAGGUUAAGCAGAAAAUGUGGAGCCGUAGCGAAAGCGAGUCUGAAUAGGGCGAAUGAGUAUUUGGUCGUAGACCCGAAACCAGGUGAUCUACCCUUGGUCAGGUUGAAGUUCAGGUAACACUGAAUGGAGGACCGAACCGACUUACGUUGAAAAGUGAGCGGAUGAACUGAGGGUAGCGGAGAAAUUCCAAUCGAACUUGGAGAUAGCUGGUUCUCUCCGAAAUAGCUUUAGGGCUAGCCUCAAGUGAUGAUUAUUGGAGGUAGAGCACUGUUUGGACGAGGGGCCCCUCUCGGGUUACCGAAUUCAGACAAACUCCGAAUGCCAAAUAAUUUAACUUGGGAGUCAGAAUGUGGGUGAUAAGGUCCAUAUUCGAAAGGGAAACAGCCCAGACCACCAGCUAAGGUCCCAAAAUAUAUGUUAAGUGGAAAAGGAUGUGGCGUUGCCCAGACAACUAGGAUGUUGGCUUAGAAGCAGCCAUCAUUUAAAGAGUGCGUAAUAGCUCACUAGUCGAGUGACACUGCGCCGAAAAUGUACCGGGGCUAAACAUAUUACCGAAGCUGUGGAUUGUCCUUUGGACAAUGGUAGGAGAGCGUUCUAAGGGCGUUGAAGCAUGAUCGCAAGGACAUGUGGAGCGCUUAGAAGUGAGAAUGCCGGUGUGAGUAGCGAAAGACGGGUGAGAAUCCCGUCCACCGAUUGACUAAGGUUUCCAGAGGAAGGCUCGUCCGCUCUGGGUUAGUCGGGUCCUAAGCUGAGGCCGACAGGCGUAGGCGAUGGAUAACAGGUUGAUAUUCCUGUACCACCAUUAUUCGUUUUAAGCGAUGGGGGGACGCAGUAGGAUAGGCGAAGCGUGCUGUUGGAGUGCACGUCCAAGCAGUGAGAUUGAGUGUUAGGCAAAUCCGGCACUCUUAAGAUUGAGCUGUGAUGGGGAGAGGAACUUGUUCCUCGAGUCGUUGAUUUCACACUGCCGAGAAAAGCCUCUAGCUAGAAUAACGGUGCCCGUACCGCAAACCGACACAGGUAGUCAAGAUGAGAAUUCUAAGGUGAGCGAGCGAACUCUCGUUAAGGAACUCGGCAAAAUGACCCCGUAACUUCGGGAGAAGGGGUGCUCUUUGAGGUUCACGCU
rnacentral:rRNA from 1 species